UAGAUGCUUCCUUCUAAGCAAGGCACCACAGAAGUGCAGUCACACUAACACGUGACGCACAUUCUAGGCAUUAUCACCAGCAGCUGAAAGAAUUGCUUCCUCUUUCUCAAGGAAGGUGUCUGACAGGGUGUCAUCGCACCCAGCGUUUCCCUUCCAGUCAGAGCAGCAAUUCUGUGGUUCUGGUCACAUGUCUGCAUCUCUCUUCUCCCAGCCCUGAAUGCCUCCUUGUCACUUCUAUCCCCCUCCCUCUGCCUGUGUUCUCACAAAGACGUGAGAAGUGGGAGGUUGGUUGCUUUAAUUAUCGCACAAUGCAUACGUGGAACCGAAUGUCACAAUAGAUCCCGUGAGCAGCUACGAUUGUUCCGAUAUGAAAGAAAAAAAAAAAAAGAGUGGAUUCUAGAAUCCAACUCUUGUGCUCUGGCAAAACUGCUCAUUCUUCCCCUGUAGACUCCAGUUCCUCUGAGUUUCAUUUUGUUUCAUUUUUAUCUCUGCACUUCUGGAUGUGGAAACCAGGGCCUCACUAUUUCAGUCAGCACCCCACCAGAGCCCAGCUCCAAUCUAUUGGGAUAUCUCGAAUCUUUUUGAAUCUGGCUCUUUUCCUACGGGGUAUAUACACUCUAAGUCAUAGACCAGGUCGUUUGAUGCUCAUCACACAGUAGGUGCUUUAUAAAUAUGAAAUGGCCUAAUAGAAGGAUUUCAGGGUGUUUUUCCUGCUUCAUUUCCUAACCUUGGUGGCCUGACUGUGUUCUGGAAGCAGAAUGUUGAGUUAAAUAGAAAGUGGAUACACAGCCCAGGAACUCUGGUAAGCGGUGUGAGUUAAUUAGUAAUAAAUAGGAAAAGGUGUCACAGCUAUCGUCCUCAGUGGCCUCUUGUCCUUUACAGGAGAUGGGUUCAUCGAAGCCUACAGUACUCGGUAGUGGUAGUACUAUCAACACAGGUAUGAGCUCAGAGUCAUUCCUGCGUUCCUGCAGUGUUGAUUCUGAUGAGGAGCUGUUUAAGAGCUUGCCCAAGGCUCACAUAGUUCAACACCUAGAGACACUGCAGGGGUAGGAAACACUUUCACCUCAGGAGGAUAGUCUCUGCAUGUCCCUGCUGGCUUAGUUACUCUUCUGUCUCUGUGAUAAUUCAAGGAAGGAAGCAGUUACUGUGGUCACUGGGAUUUUGACAAAAAUCUUCCUUUCACAGCCUCUCAAAAAUAUAGAUCUGAAGUUCUACCUGAAUGUCAAGUCUGGGAUCACUAAAAGCUGUCCCUCUAAGGGGUCAGGACAGACAUGAGUGUCAUAUAUGGUCUUCUGGCCUCACCUGGGACUGGUGUCACAGCACUUGGAAGAAGUCCUGUUCUUCUCCAAGCAGCUCCCUGUGUCUUUAUUGCAUCGCCAGGUGACACCCUUCAUGUGCCACUCCUCAUGUGACAUCCCUCAUCCUUUAUUGGUUUCCAAAAGAGGCUGCCUGCACUGUGAAGGUCCAGGUCAGACUUAGAAUCUUCUCUGCCAGUCUGGUUGGUCUUGUGUCAUGGAUAAGUGGACAACGUCCUAACACAGAAGAAGGGGCAGUGACAUGCAUGUCCUGGCUUUGACUACAAGGGCCCCAGUCUAAGAAGCUGAGCUCCUACCACUGAGAGAAACUGCCUUGGGGAACCCUGCAAAAAGUGGACAGUUUGCUGGAAACAUUCUUCACCCCCAGAAAUAAAUAAGAAGUCAGCUCCUGUUCAUCCUUCCAAGCUUCUCAGUCAGCUUGCUCUGUGGUACCAAAGGACUCCAGAUGCUAGUAAAAUUUCCUUUGCUGGAA